CAAAGAAGAAGAGAAGGAUGAAACUUUAGAUAAGAAGAGGUAUUGCCAGUAUGUUGUUGAUCAUAUAUAAGAUUGUAAAAAAAUAUUGACUCAUCUUGAAGAAGUUCAUCUUACAUUAUUAGGUGUAAAAUCUACAUUUAGAGUGUAAGAGGUCAUAAUUGUUGGACAUUUACAUAGAUUUUAUGGAAGAAAACCAGAUCUAACGAAGGUUG
rnacentral:lncRNA from 1 species